CACGUAGGGGACGAGCGUUGUCCGGAUUCAUUGGGCGUAAAGCGCGCGUAGGCGGCUCGGAAAGUCGGGCGUGAAAUGCCGGGGCUCAACCCCGGGACUGCGUCCGAUACUUCCGAGCUGGAGGUAGGUAGGGGAGAUCGGAAUUCCUGGUGUAGCGGUGAAAUGCGCAGAUAUCAGGAGGAACACUGGUGGCGAAGGCGGAUCUCUGGGCCUUACCUGACGCUGAGGCGCGAAAGCUAGGGGAGCGAACAGG
rnacentral:rRNA from 1 species